rnacentral:rRNA from 1 species
GACAGAGGGUGCGAACGUUGUUCGGAAUUACUGGGCGUAAAGCGCGUGUAGGCUGUUCGGAAAGUCGGAUGUGAAAGCCCCGGGCUCAACCCGGGAAGUGCACUCGAAACUGGAAGGCUAGAGUAUCGGAGAGGUUGGUGGAAUUCUCGGUGUAGAGGUGAAAUUCGUAGAUAUCGAGAGGAACACCGGUGGCGAAGGCGGCCAACUGGACGAAUACUGACGCUGAGACUCGAAAGCGUGGGGAGCAAACAGG